rnacentral:rRNA from 1 species
AACGAACGCUGGCGGCAUGCCUAACACAUGCAAGUCGAACGAGACCUUCGGGUCUAGUGGCGCACGGGUGCGUAACGCGUGGGAACCUGCCCUUAGGUUCGGAAUAACUCCCCGAAAGGGGUGCUAAUACCGGAUAAUGUCUUCGGACCAAAGAUUUAUCGCCUUUGGAUGGGCCCGCGUUGGAUUAGCUAGUUGGUAGGGUAAAAGCCUACCAAGGCGACGAUCCAUAGCUGGUCUGAGAGGAUGAUCAGCCACACUGGGACUGAGACACGGCCCAGACUCCUACGGGAAGCAGCAGUGGGGAAUAUUGGACAAUGGGCGAAAGCCUGAUCCAGCAAUGCCGCGUGAGUGAUGAAGGCAUUAGGGUUGUAAAGCUCUUUUAACCGGGAUGAUAAUGACAGUACCGAGAGAAUAAGCGCCGGCUAACUCCGUG